rnacentral:rRNA from 1 species
AGAGUGGACGCUGGCGGUAGGCCUAACACAUGCAAGUCGAACGGCAGCACAGUGGUAGCAAUACCAUGGGUGGCGAGUGGCGGACGGGUGAGGAAUACAUCGGAAUCUACCUUUUCGUGGGGGAUAACGUAGGGAAACUUACGCUAAUACCGCAUACGCCCUUUGGGGGAAAGCCGGGGAUCGCAAGACCUGGCGCGGAUAGAUGAGCCGAUGUCGGAUUAGCUAGUUGGUGAGGUAAUGGCUCACCAAGGCGACGAUCCGUAGCUGGUCUGAGAGGUAUGAUCAGCCACACGUGGAACUGAGACGACGGUCCAGACUCCGUAACGGGAGCAGCGAAGGUGGGGAAUUAGUUGGAACAAGUGGGCGACGAACGCUGACUCCAGGCCCAAGUACCGG